GAAGUAGGUCCCAAGGGUAUGGCUGUUCGCCAUUUAAAGUGGUACGCGAGCUGGGUUUAGAACGUCGUGAGACAGUUCGGUCCCUAUCUGCCGUGGGCGCUGGAGAAUUGAGGGGGGCUGCUCCUAGUACGAGAGGACCGGAGUGGACGCAUCACUGGUGUUCGGGUUGUCAUGCCAAUGGCACUGCCCGGUAGCUAAAUGCGGAAGAGAUAAGUGCUGAAAGCAUCUAAGCACGAAACUUGCCCCGAGAUGAGUUCUCCCUGACUCCUUGAGAGUCCUGAAGGAACGUUGAAGACGACGACGUUGAUAGGCCGGGUGUGUAAGCGCAGCGAUGCGUUGAGCUAACCGGUACUAAUGAACCGUGAGGCUUAACCUU
rnacentral:rRNA from 1 species